rnacentral:rRNA from 2 species
AGCGGAGGAAAAGAAUACCAACUGGGAUUACCUUAGUAACGGCGAGUGAAGCGGUAAAAGCAUCAAAUUUGAAAUCUGGUACUUUCAGUGCCCGAGUUGUAAUUUGUAGAAUUUGUCUUUGAUUAGGUCCUUGUCUAUGUUCCUUGGAACAGGACGUCAUAGAGGGUGAGAAUCCCGUUUGGCGAGGAUACCUUUUCUCUGUAAGACUUUUUCGAAGAGUCGAGUUGUUUGGGAAUGCAGCUCAAAGUGGGUGGUAAAUUCCAUCUAAAGCUAAAUAUUGGCGAGAGACCGAUAGCGAACAAGUACAGUGAUGGAAAGAUGAAAAGAACUUUGAAAAGAGAGUGAAAAAGUACGUGAAAUUGUUGAAAGGGAAGGGCAUUUGAUCAGACAUGGUGUUUUUUUAAUGUGCAAGUCUCUCGUGGACAUGUGCCUCUGGAAAUUAACACUGGGCCAACAUCAGUUCUGGCGGCAGGAUAAAUCAUUAAGAAUGUAGCUACCUCGGUAGUGUUAUAGCUUUUUGGAAUACUGCCAGCUGGGAUUGAGGACUGCGCUUCGGCAAGGAUGUUGGCAUAAUGGUUGAGAAUGCCGCCCGUCUUGAAACACGGACC